CCUACGGGAGGCAGCAGUGGGGAAUUUUGGACAAUGGGCGCAAGCCUGAUCCAGCCAUGCCGCGUGCGGGAAGAAGGCCUUCGGGUUGUAAACCGCUUUUGUCAGGGAAGAAAUCCUUUGGGUUAAUACCUCGGAGGGAUGACGGUACCUGAAGAAUAAGCACCGGCUAACUACGUGCCAGCAGCCGCGGUAAUACGUAGGGUGCGAGCGUUAAUCGGAAUUACUGGGCGUAAAGCGUGCGCAGGCGGUUAUGCAAGACAGAUGUGAAAUCCCCGGGCUCAACCUGGGAACUGCAUUUGUGACUGCAUAGCUAGAGUACGGUAGAGGGGGAUGGAAUUCCGCGUGUAGCAGUGAAAUGCGUAGAUAUGCGGAGGAACACCGAUGGCGAAGGCAAUCCCCUGGACCUGUACUGACGCUCAUGCACGAAAGCGUGGGGAGCAAACAGGAUUAGAUACCCUGGUAGUCCACGCCCUAAACGAUGUCAACUGGUUGUUGGACGGCUUGCUGUUCAGUAACGAAGCUAACGCGUGAAGUUGACCGCCUGGGGAGUAACGGCCGCAAGGUUGAAACUUNAAAUGAAUUGACGGNNGAGAGNGCGAGGACGACGACGAGGGAGAGG
rnacentral:rRNA from 1 species